rnacentral:rRNA from 1 species
AUGAGAUAUAUACUGUCUCAU